AGUGAACGCUGGCGGCAGGCCUAACACAUGCAAGUCGAGCGGCAGCGCGGGGGCAACCCUGGCGGCGAGCGGCGGACGGGUGAGGAAUUCGUCGGAAUCUGCCUUUUUGUGGGGGAUAACGUAGGGAAACUUAAGCUAAUACCGCAUACGCUCUACGGAGGAAAGCCGGGGACCGCAAGGCCUGGCACUGAUAGAUGAGCCCAAGCCGGAUUAGCUAGUUGGCGGGGUAACGGCCCACCAAGGCGACGAUCCGUAGCUGGUCUGAGAGGACGAUCAGCCACACUGGAACUGAGACACGGUCCAGACUCCUACGGGAGGCAGCAGUGGGGAAUAUUGGACAAUGGGGGAAACCCUGAUCCAGCGACGCCGCGUGGGUGAAGAAGGCCUGCGGGUUGUAAAGCCCUUUCGGUAGGGACGAAAGCUCUCGACCUAACACGUCGGGAGGUUGACUUAACCUACAGAAGAAGCACCGGCUAACUCUGUGCCAGCAGCCGCCGUAAAAC
rnacentral:rRNA from 1 species